GGAACUGUUUAUAACACUGGAAAAAUUGAAAGGGGGAAAAGGACAGAUUACUUUUAAAAAGUUUCAUUUAAUUUUCAGUUAAUUGGAAGUUGAACCUGGAAGUUGUUAAACCUCUUGGCCAUCACCUUCACUGUCAAUAGCCACUUAAGAUCAAACUCAAUUCAACUCUUAAUUGCUGGGUAUGAAACAGAGGCUGGUAACUUCAUAACACAUUCUAAACUCGUAACUUUGUGGAAUAUCUAGUAUGUCUACUAUUGAGGAUCUUUAAUAUUAGGCAUGUUUGUAUAGCUACUUGUGACAAUGAAUGCUGUUUACCUUGUUACCGUUUUAAUCAUUAUCAUUAGGUCUGCAGUCUCUCUACCCACCUCUCUUACCCACUUUGGUUUAUUCUGUGUACGCUGUCUGUUUUUUGAGACAUCGUCUCAAUGCAGCCCCGGUUGCUUUUGAACUUGUAUUGCUCCUAUUUCUGUCUCUCAGGACUGGGUUCCUAGCAUGGGGCACCAUACUUGGCAUUAGAACUAUUGCUCCCAUUUCAUGAAGACCUCCUCUGUGAUGAGCUGUGCACAGUACAUCCUUUCCAUAUAGUGUUUCGCUAAGGAGUUUUCCCACUCGUUUCACAGUUAAGGAAACUGACUCAGGGAGGCAAAGUAAUUGACCCAAAGAGUUGAUAAAUGCUAAGGUUCAAAGUCUACAACAGUUUUCAUUAUCUAUUGUUAAUUAAGAUUGUUGUUUAAGCAUGUGCGCUUGCGCGCGCUCUCUCUCUCUCCUCCCCUCACCCCCCACGGUUACAUUGUUGUUCUUAUGUUGUCCAAAUAUGGGAUUGUGAGAUAUCCAAGCAAAGAAAAAUAGGGAUUGUGAGUUAUUCAAGCAAAGAAAUCUAGGGAACUUUGGAAAAGGCUGGACCAGUUUCUUACCCCCUUCCUUACUCCCUUUCUAAGGACACAUUUCUUAAGGGCGCCAAUGUUUUCAUACUCAAGUCUGAUUGUUGACCAGCAACUUCAAGGAUGACUGUGUGCCAACCAGAACCUGCCUGUGUAAUUCAGUGCUUAUUUGGAAAGAUCAAGUAUGUGAAUAUUGUAGGAUUUGUUUCUCUUGACCACUCCUGCCUAAUCCUGGUAGAAAAAAGGAAAUACUUGUCUUAAUCCCAAUUAAAUAUAAGGUUUUAAAAGGGUUUGGUUUCUAGAAAGCAACACAGGGAAUAUUCUCUUACAGAACCCUGUGUAUUAGUUGCUCUUUGGUCUGCCACCCACGUCUUUUGAAUGUGGUGUGGGUGUUUGAGAACUUAGCCCAAGCAUUGUAAAUGACACCAGAUUUUUUUCUACCAUCUUAUAUAAGGAUACUUUAGAUGGUAAACCUAGAACAAGGACUUAGAAAUUGGCAAUUACUGUCAUAUUCAUUUCAAAUUACUAAUCAAAGCCAAUUCACCUCAGGAUUAUCUAAAGUUUGUGUUCAUUGUGUCUUUGGCAGCAAGAGGGGGGCAGUGUGACAGUUGCCACAUUAGCACACAGAACUUGCUCUUCAAAAUCUCAUGAACAGCUUUAGAACGUCAGAAUACAGUUUGUAUUUUGGGGGCUGUUCCUGCUGUGAAAAACAUCUAUCACCU
rnacentral:lncRNA from 1 species